GCAUGGAUGAAUUCUGUUCCAACUCAGUGUGGUGGACACAGCCAGACACCAUGCAAGAGUAUUACCUCAUAUCUAUGAAAAGAGUGCAUGUGCUGCCCUCAGCUUCAUACAUCUGCAUAGGUAUGAGUACAGUU